GGCUAACUACGUGCCAGCAGCGCGGUAAUACGUAGGUGGCAAGCGUGUCCGGAUUUAUUGGGCGUAAAGCGAGCGCAGGCGGUUUUUUAAGUCUGAUGUGAAAGCUUCGGCUUAACCGGAGAAGUGCAUCGGAGACUGGGAAACUUGAGUGCAGAAGAGGACAGUGGAACUCCAUGUGUAGCGGUGGAAUGCGUAGAUAUAUGGAAGAACACCAGUGGCGAAGGCGGCUGUCUAGUCUGUAACUGACGCUGAGGCUCGAAAGCAUGGGUAGCGAACAGGAUUAGAUACCCUGGUAGUCCAUGCCGUAAACGAUGAGUGCUAGGUGUUGGAGGGUUUCCGCCCUUCAGUGCCGCAGCUAACGCAUUAAGCACUCCGCCUGGGGAGUACGACCGCAAGGUUGAAACUCAAAGGAAUUGACGGGGGCCCGCACAAGCGGUGGAGCAUGUGGUUUAAUUCGAAGCUACGCGAAGAACCUUACCAGGUCUUGACAUACUAUGCAAAUCUUAGAGAUAAGACGUUCCCUUCGGGGACAUGGAUACAGGUGGUGCAUGGUUGUCGUCAGCUCGUGUCGUGAGAUGUUGGGUUAAGUCCCGCAACGAGCGCAACCCUUAUUAUCAGUUGCCAGCAUUAAGUUGGGCACUCUGGUGAGACUGCCGGUGACAAACCGGAGGAAGGUGGGGAUGACGUCAAAUCAUCAUGCCCCUUAUGACCUGGGCUACACACGUGCUACAAUGGACGGUACAACGAGUCGCGAAGUCGUGAGGCUAAGCUAAUCUCUUAAAGCCGUUCUCAGUUCGGAUUGUAGGCUGCAACUCGCCUACAUGAAGUUGGAAUCGCUAGUAAUCGCGGAUCAGCAUGCCGCGGUGAAUACGUUCCCGGGCCUUGUACACACCGCCCGUCACACCAUGAGAGUUUGUAACACCCAAAGCCGGUGAGAUAACCUUCGGGAUUCACCGUCUAAGGUGGGACAGAUGAUUAGGGUGAAGUCGUAACAAGGUAA
rnacentral:rRNA from 1 species